CAGUUCUGCCACCUUGAGGUCAUAAUAGUGAUAUUGCAGCAACAAUUGUGGGGAGAGACGCGCUAACUGCGUGCACACACUACACACUUUGAAGACGGUGCUGGAAGACAGAGGGCAUUUUAGAAUAUUGAAAUUGCAUAUUAUUUCCCCUUCUGAGAUUUCUACCAUUUGUGUAGUGAUGGAGCUGAAGACUGUAACGUUAACCCAGGCGAACGGUUUCUGCAUCAUACCCGUAUUCCUGUACGAAAAGCAGCAACAGUGUCUCUCUCAAUUUUAGCGCGACUCGUCCUGAAAUAUUCUAACAUUACGCAUCGCAUGGUAGAUUGAAUUGUUCAUAGAAUGGAGGUUCCUGAGUAAACCAGAGCUAUACACAUCCACCACCUCAGCCAUGGUGCGGACAGAGCCCCAGGACCCCGACCAUGCCUCCACCCAUCUGUCCUCCUCAAACCUGAACCCAGAUCAGCAGAGUGUGACCCCGAUGACCCACACAUCAGGAAGCUCAGCAGGUCAUCCGUCUUAUUCACUGUAUUGGGCCCUUCACAACAAAUCUACCAGGACAAGUCCAGUGUCUGACAAAACUUCUCGGUACAGCCUGGAUCCUCAGCUUCUACGCAGUAUGGUCCAUAUGAUUAAAGAAGACAGGAUCCAGUGGGAGGGGAAAUAUUCAGUUCCCCAUCUCUGCUCAACACAAUGCACCCUGGAGGACAGAGCGUGAUGUGCCAGUUUGAGGCUGAAGAUUGUGUUAAGGGCUUUGCACACUGCGGGGCCUUCAUGAGCCCUGCUAUGAGCUAGCAGGACUGCAGGCAAAGAUUCUACUGUCCUUUCUGCUACAAAAUCACAGAAUUGCCAUGGCAGCAGAAAAAAGACCUGAGAUCAGUCUUGGCCCAUAUGAUACUGCAAAAACAGGAAUGGCGUGAAUUUGUUUUGAACUUAAAUUUUUCUUGUUUUAUACUAUGUAUUGUAAUACAAACAACUAAUUCAAAGCAUGAUCAUGUUUUGUUUUUAUUUUAAAAUAUACACUACAGUAUAUAUUUAUCUGUCCAAAAGAAGUUAAAUAAAAUGCAUCUAUCUAUAAUAAAAAGUGCCUCACAUGGUUCCGUAGAGUGAACAAAGGCUUCCUGAAUCGAUACGUUUUUGUAAGAAAAAUAACCAUAUUUAAAACGUAAUAAUCAGUUUAAUCUAGCUUUUGUUCUCUGUUGUACACGGAAGCAGCUCCAGGCGAAGACAUAUGAGGUUGGAAAGUGACGAACACAGAAUCGCAGGGUGAAGAAUAAAAAAACAAAACAACGGUCAUGAAUUAGUAUGAAUUAUAUGAAGUACAAAACAAGGAUUUGUAAAGAAGACUGUCAGAGGAUUUCGAUAUAAGCCAAGAGGAGACUGGUUUUCCUUUGCUAAAGUAAGGAAACUUUAGCCCCUUUCACACUGCACGUGGGUCCCGGAAAAUUGCCGGGUCGCCUUCUGUGUGAAUGCAAACAGGUCCCGGGAUUGAUCCCAGCUUGGGGACCUAGUAGCAUUGCCGGGUUCAAUCCUGGAACGAGUUCUGUGUGAACAAAAGGCAGAACUAAUGCCAUAAAGGGUGUGUCGUAAUGAUGACGCAUGCUAUCGUGCGACUCUUUUAACAGGUGUUUUGAAGGCAGAUCAACAUUCGCGAUGAAAAAAAGAUGUGCAAACUGUAAUGAAGCAGAGAUCAGUUAGCUCAUCACUAUCCACGCUUAAGCUGAGAUCGUUUGCCAGCUUAAGUGAAAGUUAACGUGAACUAGCGUUUUCGACUCGUAGUUUAGAAGAUCAUAGUGAAGAAUUAUCGUUAUAGCAAGAGGCAAAAGGUUACCAAUAGUCCUUUCUUCUUGGGCAGAGUUCUACAGGAAAUUUCACUUUUCAACCCUGAAUCGGAAGAUAGAUCCAGCUCACAAGAGCUUCCUGUUUCUGCAGGACUGAAGAUUCUUCAGGCAAGAGCCUUAAUAUGAGUCUUAAACAUGCAUGUGCUCUUGCUGAAAAAUUCUACAUCUGUGCUGCAUGCCUCACCUUGUUUCUGAAAGCACAAAUCAGAAAAACUCUGGUUUCUUCAGCUCUAGCAAAGUGAAGGUGAUUUAGAGAGCAUGUAUUCUUUUCCACAAUAUUAGACAUAAAGGUAGUUUUGAGGUUUAUAUAAAAGUUUCCUCUUGGUUUCAUGUUAGUCCAUCUUCCAAGGACCAGAUUCCUCGAUCUCAUUGGCUAAAGAGUGUGUCACUCAAGGCUGCAGUGUGCACAUCUUUGUGUUCUCCCAUCAGGAAGUAGGCGGGGCUUGGCCAAGACACAUCCCCUUUCUCACAGGGGGUGGUGUCAUCUGCUAUAACAGACUACAGGUAAUAAAUGCCAUCUGCACUCAGUCAACAUCAGUAACACCCUCAUGUCCUAUUACAUCAGAUGUAGAAAACCUUAGAGCCCAGUUUCUCUAAAACUGCUUUACAGAUUGGAAAUUUCAAAACAACCCUAUGGCUGCCUCGAGAAUUAGCCUGGAAUGUCAUAAUGGUUGGUAUUUGUUAAAAGUCUCUGCUGCUAAUACAAGGUUUUUCUAGACAUCUUAUUAACUGAAAGUGUUACAAAGUUCGCCUUCCUGCUCUAUUAUCAUAGUCGCCCUGAGCAAGCCACUUUAUCCAGUGCUGCUUUGAGAGGACUGUUCCUGCAUUUAGAGCACUGUAGCAAUGGACAAAAAAUAUUUUUUCUUUUUCUUCAUAAACAAAAUUGAAAAAAAAUAAUAAUAAUAUUCUGUCCACUUCCAUCUGUGUGAAGAGAACUGGAUUGAGCACUCAGAAGAGGAGUGACAACCAUGUUUAAUGUAGUGUGAACAAACCUUGUCAAUUCAUACUGUCUCUUUCUGUGUAUUUUUCCUUUGCGGUAAGAGAUGGAACAGGAAUGCUUCCGAGCUGAUUUGAGCAGAUGUGUGAGCAUGCAGAUGGCCUUCAAAGUUCAACUCCGAGUUUUUGUCAGUAAAGGUCACCACAGGGGCAUCUAAAACCUAGAUUCUAAAACAGGGAGGAACUGAGACUGAGAAGAACUAAAUAUAAAGACUGUAGUUUAGCUUUCAAUUAAUUUUAUUGUAUGAUGCUUUCUUUUUGAGAUGUAAUCAAAUUAGACACAGAGCAUAUGGGUCAUAGUCUAAAUAAAACAUGACGAUUUGCCAAAUAUAUAAUCUUUUUUUUAGUACUAGAAUGGAUAGUCACUUGUUCAUAACUUGAAUUCAAUGUGUGAAUACCAGAUAUUAUUGGUAGAUAGCUACUAUAUAUUAUAUUAACAGCUCAAUCACUGUGUUUUGCAGAGAUGCGCUUAUCUGGUUGCUAUGGCUCCUUCAUCACGGAUCCUGACUCUUGCUGUGUUGCCAUGGCAGCGCUUGAUUGGCGCACAGCUCUGGCAUUUGAGUUCACUCACAAGUCUUUGGAUGAAACGAGGGGUGUAGCCUUACAGGAAGUAUUGAUGUGAUGCGGUGAAUGUAUGGAUUGAUAUAUAAUCAUAAAUUAUCAUAUUAAAUCAUAGUAUAACAUUUUGUUUAAUAAAUUACACUUAUCUGAGAGUAAUGGAUAUGAUAAAUAAUUUAAUAUGCUGUUUAUUUAAUGUAUUUGUUAUUAUUCAUCUGUUUGAUUCCCUUCUCAUUUGCUGGUGUAGUUUGUGCUAUCAUGUAGUUACUCUUCUGGAGAGAACAUGACACGGAUGCACACUGUUAUUCUGUCCACUUCCUGUCAGCUGCUAGAUACCUUUAGAAGCAGCUAGGCCGAGACGCUCCUCACAUUCUACUGCAAGAAAAGUAUAAAAACAGUGUUUGUUGUCUGUUGCAUACAGUAAUGUGACCAUACUGCCUACAACAUUCUUAAAACCAAGAUGAAAUCAAAGUUGAAGGUGAAGUCCAUCUUCCAAGGACCAGAUUCCUCGAUCUCAUUGGCUAAAGAGUGUGUCACUCAAGGCUGCAGUGUGCACAUCUUUGUGUUCUCCCAUCAGGAAGUAGGCGGGGCUUUGCCAGGGCACAUCCCCUUUCUCACAGGGGGUGGUGUCAUCUGCUAUAACAGACUACAGCUGGUGUUGCCUCAGUUUCUGAAAGUCCUACCUGUCUACGUUUACAGUUUUCGCAAAAGUGAAGUGCUGCUGCCUGGUCCGCGGAGCUCUGUACAUCAGCAUCUAAGACUGCGAGGCCUCAUUGUCUCCAUGGACACGCUGAGCACUGCUUCCCAGUUCUACCCACUUAUUCUGCCUCUGGUGAGAGACAGACAUCUAGAACAUUCUGUUCAUCCAAAUUAGUCACUGAAAUGAGACCGUUUCCUUGUCUGUAAGAAUUUGUAAUUCUCUGUUGGAUUGUUAUACACAUGGCUGGAUUUAGAGAUGCCACAUUCUUCACUACUCUAGCAAUAAAUGCAUUUACUGUACUCUC